rnacentral:rRNA from 1 species
UCCUACGGGAGGCAGCAGUGGGGAAUAUUGCACAAUGGGCGAAAGCCUGAUGCAGCCAUGCCGCGUGAAUGAUGAAGGCCUUAGGGUUGUAAAAUUCUUUCGCUAGGGAUGAUAAUGACAGUACCUAGUAAAGAAGCCCCGGCUAACUUCGUGCCAGCAGCCGCGGUAAU